GCGGCAGUCCCGGCCCCGCUGACCUCUUCCGUAGCGCACACAAAGCAGUGAUCCCUUCCUUUGAGAUGCGGGUUGCGGACAGUCAAGUUUUAGCUCCAAUCCCUUAGGGACCCGCUGGAGGAAAGGCAGCUUUCAGGCUGCUGCAGCGGCAAGUCCUUGUCCUUGGGAGAAGAGAGGUACCGCAAGGGAAUGGAGGAAACCAGCUAAGGGGGGGAACCACCCCAGGGAUUGGAGCCUGCUGCACACUGUUUUGCCUAAGAAAUCUAAAAACAUCAGUCUUAAAAGACAGUGGCCUCUCUUUUGAAAGCUCACGGUUCAGCCCUCCCAGUUGGUCAGCACUCAGGUCUUAAUUCCACUCAGAUCUGCAGUCUCAGGUCAGCACUAGACUCAGCCAGUACCAACACGGUAAUUAGUCUGUCCACAGUUCUCCUUGCAACGAAAAUAAAGUUAAUUAGAAUGGAAAAAAAGGAAUGAAA
rnacentral:lncRNA from 1 species